rnacentral:rRNA from 1 species
GCAUAUCAAUAAGCGGAGGAAAAGAAACCAACAGGGAUUGCCCCAGUAACGGCGAGUGAAGCGGCAACAGCUCAAAUUUGAAAUCUGGCCCCUCAAGGUCCGAGUUGUAAUUUGUAGAGGAUGCUUUUGGUGAGGUGCCGCCCGAGUUCCCUGGAACGGGACGCCGCAGAGGGUGAGAGCCCCGUCUGGCUGGCCGCCGAACCUAUGUAAAGCUCCUUCGACGAGUCGAGUAGUUUGGGAAUGCUGCUCAAAAUGGGAGGUAUAUGUCUUCUAAAGCUAAAUAUUGGCCAGAGACCGAUAGCGCACAAGUAGAGUGAUCGAAAGAUGAAAAGCACCUUGAAAAGAGGGUUAAAUAGUACGUGAAAUUGUUGAAAGGGAAGCGCUUGUGACCAGACUUGGGCGCGGCGGAUCAUCCGGGGUUCUCCCCGGUGCACUUCGCCGUGUCCAGGCCAGCAUCAGUUCGUCGCGGGGGAAAAAGGCUUCGGGAACGUGGCUCCUCCGGGAGUGUUAUAGCCCGUUGCAUAAUACCCUGCGGUGGACUGAGGACCGCGCUUCGGCAAGGAUGCUGGCGUAAUGGUCACCAGCGACCCGUCUUGAAACACGGACC